AACCAUAGAAACCUGCGGAGUACCUGCGGAAGGAUCAUUAUCGAGUUGCAAAACUCCAACCCUUUGUGAACAUACCUCAGUCGUUGCUUCGGCGGUGGACGGCCUUUUUUCGAAAAGGCCCGAAGCCGCCGGAGGUUCCAAACUCGUGUUUUGUUUAGUGUAUCUCUGAGCCUGAAAACAAAUAAUCAAAACUUUCAGCAAUGGAUCU
rnacentral:misc_RNA from 1 species